rnacentral:misc_RNA from 1 species
GAUGAAGAACGCAGCGAAAUGCGAUACGUAAUGUGAAUUGCAGAAUUCAGUGAAUCAUCGAGUCUUUGAACGCACAUUGCGCCCCCUGGUAUUCCGGGGGGCAUGUCUGUCCGAGCGUCAUUGCUGCCCUCAAGCACGGCUUGUGUGUUGGGCCCCGUCCUCCGAUCCCGGGGGACGGGCCCGAAAGGCAGCGGCGGCACCGCGUCCGGUCCUCGAGCGUAUGGGGCUUUGUCACCCGCUCUGUAGGCCCGGCCGGCGCUUGCCGAUCAACCCAAAUUUUUAUCCAGGUUGACCUCGGAUCAGGUAGGGAUACCCGCUGAACUUAAGCAUAUCAAUAAGCGGAGGA